GAAAUGACUGAAUACAUCUUGUAACUUGUAGCAAGAGCAAAUACCGUGAGCCUCAGGUGUAUAUCAUUGCAAUCACAGUAUGCUUGACAAAUCUGUGAAAUUUACACCUUUGAUUGCUGUCCAGAUGGGUGGUCUUGCCAGAAAUAAAUUUUGGCUUGUGACAACACAAAAAAAAGAAUGGGAGAACGACCAAACUAUUUCUGAAAUUGGACGGGAAGUUUAUUUUUAGUUUACUAUUGUCUGCUACAGGUUUUGUUUUAUUGUUUACCUACUGAGCUAGCAGGUACCUUAUAAUAAGCAAAUCACAGUAGUGACAGCAACAAGGAGGUGGCAAAACAAAAGGUCUAAUGAGCAGAAAAAAAGCUCAGCACGUGCAUUUUAAAACUUUGUACACUUCUUGGCUGUCUUCUGCAAAACAGCAAUGCAUAUCACCAAAAUUUGCCUGUUCUAAAAUGGAAACUCAGACAGUGAAUUAUUUAAUUUUCCAUUUGGAACUCAAUGCAGCUCACACAGAUUAUGUUGAAGUUGAGAUGUAGUGCCCUGGGAGACAGUAAAUACCUCCAGACAUUUGCAAAAUUCUAACAAAAAACUUAAAUUCAUUUUUUGAUGAAUGUCUUCCUUAGUGUUGCCAUCCUGGCUGCUUUAAGUCUUAAUGAUCAUGUAGUCUCCUUCAAGUUAAAGUUAGUUUUGCACUGCACAAAAAUUGACUUUAAGAGUUGUCACGUAACUUCUUUAUCAUCUCUUUCUUCAAUCAGAAAUUCCUGCAGCUCACUGGGUGGUUCAACUAGACUGUCCAGAGGAUGCAAACACAUGCAUUCAUUGAGCUGGAAGAACAGCUAGAGUAAACCCACAGAAGCUUGGUCAAUUUAAAAGAAACUUGAAGCUCUAUGUGUACAAGACUUAGAAAUAAAGCAGUGGGCACAAAAGUCCAGGUGGAGAGAUUCACUUUCAAGCCACCAGGCUGGGUCAUGGCACUGUGUCCUUGAGUGAGAUACUUGACGCUCACAGUGCUUCUUUCCAGUCAGGAGUAUACAGAAGGAUAAUCAACAACUGUUAGGGAAACCUGUGAUGUACUAGUAUCCCAUUCAGUUACAUGCUGCAGAAACCAAGACUGGCUCCAGCAGAGUCGGCCACCGCUAUGCUUCAGAGUAGACUUUACCAUUUUUUAUCAAUCCCAAUAUAUUUUUACCAAAACACAUAAGUGUCCUUCUCAUUUGGAUAAUUUUAUUGGAUAACUUAAGGAAGAGAGUUAAUGUAGUCCUUUAUUUGUAAAUGUUUGUGGUAUUCCAUCUUCAUUAAGAAGUAAAAGUAUGUCAAAUUUAUUUUAUGAGGUCCUGUGACCUGUUAAGCAUACAGUGCAAUCAACUAUAAAAAGGUACAUCAAAUUAAGAAAAAAUUAUAAUUAUACUCUGACAUGCUUUGGUGCCUAGCUAAAUUACUGUUACUUUAAUUGGUCAAUAAAGCUACAUUGUGAAGUAAA